rnacentral:sRNA from 1 species
AUCUGCAAGCUGAGGAAAAAGGAGGCCAGUCCAAAUCCCAAAGCUGAAGAACUCGGAGUCCGAUGUUCAAGGGGAGGAAGCAUCGAGCACGGGAGAGCGAUGGAUCUCUUCCGCAUCCUCCAGGCUGCAUCUCCAGCACCUCACACCCUGCUGGCAGCAACAGACACUGGCCCUGCAGCUGGUGAGCAGUAAGAGGGACUUGGUUCUGGUGAAGGAGGCGCUGAGCUGGUACGACGCCCAGCAGCACUGCCGGCUGCACUACACAGACCUCGCUGACCUGCAGCCAAGUGGCCUGUGGAAGCUCUACUCCCUCAUGACCAGCACCCCGGCUUGGAUUGGCCUCUUCUUCGACGCAAGCACUUCUGGCCUGAGAUGGUCCAGCGGCUCCACCUUCACAGCCCUGGAGUGGGGCCAGAAGCUACCCGAAUUUGGGGUGGGCUUCUGUGCCACGCUGUACACUUGGCUGAAAUUACCCAGCAUAGGGGCUGCCUCCUGCACAGCCCAGAAGCCCUUCCUCUGCUACUAUGCACAGGUGGAUGGUUAGGGUCUCAGAACUGGGCAGGAGGGGAGCGGCCACCCUCUGGGAGAUCCCCUGCUUCCCGCUAAGUGGGCAGUGGGAGCCAACUCCUUGGGCAUCUUUGCGGGAAAUCCACCAUCGUUACGCCAUGCGCAAGGCUCCAGCUGUUGGAGAACAGCAGCCCCCUCCUUGUGCUCCACCGGGCCCCUCUCUGUCCUGGCUGCCGGUGCCUCUGACUCCUGUCUUGUUGCUGUUGGGAAGAUCAUACGUGGGCUGGUUGUGGCGUGCACAGCACUUGCCCGACCCUGACGUCGGGCACCUCAUCUCCACGAAGCCCUCUCUCAGCCUGACCAUCUCUCCAAAGCCAGCUGUGGCCAGUGUAGGGAGUGGCACUGAUAGAAGAGAUACAGCUGCUGCCACGGAGGCCCAACAUCUGAGUUCAGAAUCUAAAGAAAAAACAUCAGCACAAAAAUCAGGGCACCCUUUUGGAAUCUUGAAAGCAGACUUUACCAUCUCAACUCUGAUGGACCCAGAAGAGAUGAAAGACCAAUUUCUGAGACAGAUCCAGGAAGUCUUAAAGCUUACAUUAGGUCACGAACAAUUUAGACUGAAAUGGGUCAGCUUCGAAGUGAACAAAAAAUAGCACAAUUCUUGGAUAUGCA